UGCCGUGAACAUUUAUUUUCUAGGGCUGCACUGUUGAUCCUGACAAAACUAAACUGGCACCGACACAGGCCAUGAUGCAUGUCCUUCAUCACGAAGUUGAACGCAUCAUCCAAACCAUUUUCAUAAUGAUCUCUCCAUUGACAUGCCAAGGAACCAUGUCAUUAAGCCUUUGUGCCACAAAUGAUGAUCAAAAUAUUUAUGAGUUCUUGGAUCUGCUUCUUUACAUUC
rnacentral:lncRNA from 1 species